rnacentral:rRNA from 1 species
AGAGUUUGAUCCUGGCUCAGGAUGAACGCUAGCUACAGGCUUAACACAUGCAAGUCGAGGGGCAGCAUGAAACUUAGCUUGCUAAGUUUGAUGGCGACCGGCGCACGGGUGAGUAACACGUAUCCAACCUACCGUUUACUACGGGAUAGCCUUCUGAAAAGGAGAUUAAUACCGUAUGGCAUUCUAAAGUUUCAUGACAUUAGAAUUAAAGGUUUACCGGUAAUCGAUGGGGAUGCGUUCCAUUAGAUAGUAGGCGGGGUAACGGCCCACCUAGUCAGCGAUGGAUAGGGGUUCUGAGAGGAAGGUCCCCCACAUUGGAACUGAGACACGGUCCAAACUCCUACGGGAGGCAGCAGUGAGGAAUAUUGGUCAAUGGGCGAGAGCCUGAACCAGCCAAAAGUAGCGUGAAGGAUGACUGCCCUAUGGGUUGUAAACUUCUUUUAUAAAGGAAUAAAGUGGUCCACGUGUGGAUUUUUGUAUGUACUUUAUGAAUAAGGAUCGGCUAACUCCGUGCCAGCCGCCGC